rnacentral:rRNA from 1 species
AUUGAACGCUAGCGGGAUGCCUUACACAUGCAAGUCGAACGGCAGCGCGGACUUCGGUCUGGCGGCGAGUGGCGAACGGGUGAGUAACACGUGGGUGAUCUGCCCUGCGCUUCGGGAUAAGCCUGGGAAACUGGGUCUAAUACCGGAUAGGACCACUGCCUGCAUGGGUGGUGGUGGAAAGCUUUUGCGGUGUGGGAUGGGCCCGCGGCCUAUCAGCUUGUUGGUGGGGUGAUGGCCUACCAAGGCGACGACGGGUAGCCGGCCUGAGAGGGUGACCGGCCACACUGGGACUGAGAUACGGCCCAGACGCCUACGGGAGGCAGCAGUGGGGAAUAUUGCACAAUGGGCGCAAGCCUGAUGCAGCGACGCCGCGUGAGGGAUGACGGCCUUCGGGUUGUAAACCUCUUUCAGCACCGACGAAGCGCAAGUGACGGUAGGUGCAGAAGAAGGACCGGCCAACUACGUGCCAGCCGCCGCAGUAA